rnacentral:misc_RNA from 1 species
AAGCAAGCCAACAUGCUAAAAGACCAUGAUUUACUAAAACGAAACAGAUACUGGAAUCGCUUAGCCAGAUGAUGUUUUACUGUUUCAACUAAUAUCCGAAAAAAUAUAGAAGCCAAUGACGAGUACAACAGGCAAACAAACUUUACCUCCACACUACUCUCUUUCUAUUUGAAUGGUAACGUGGCUAAUGUUAUAUUCCCUUCUAAUAUAAUCGAUAACCUUAUCCAGCACCAUGUCAGCAUCAGCAUCAGGUUUAAUCUUGACAUGGCAAGCCAAGAGUACUUUCCCGACUGUAAUCGCCCAAAUAUGCAAUUCAUGGAUUGCAACAACCUCUUCCAUCUCACAAAGACCCUUCUCA